UACUAGGUUAGGGGGUCCAAUGGACAAACCGAUUCGGGUUAGCAUAAAAACGGGGUUGAUCCGGAUUCAACGGUCACGACCGCCCGGUUCGGGUUCUGGGAGGUUUUCGGACUAGGUUGCGCGUAGGGUCGGUGCAUUGUGCAGAGGGGCUAGGCGGAGGUGAGAAGGAAAACGGGCAACCUGGCGACACAAGUUAAAAUACCGAAUCGUCCGACAAUUGACCGGCUAUAGUGCCGCUAUAGGUUCGACGGUUCGGUUAACAAACAACUCUGAUUGGGACGAAAUUAGGCACGCGGCCUACUUACAAUAAAAUAAGACCACACGCUAAGUUUCAACCCAAUCCGAGAAAGUUUUAUACAUACUUUUAAAAACAAAUAUUAACGAUGUCGCGGGCGCGUGCGUGUGUGGUUGGUCUGGAAAUGGUCAACGACAAAAACGGAGAGAACUGGCAACUAAUAACGAAUGCAGUUUUGAAAAUUCGUGGCAACGGAGUGCCGAUGCAAUGUUGAUGAUGCGGAUGAUGCGAUGAUGAGUGUGUCAAACAAACGAACCACACGACGAGAACGGAAUAAAAGGGGAAUCUUCUGGAGCAUCGGUCUCAGGAUGUCACACUUAGCUUGGUCCUUUUUCUUCUCAUGAGUACCCUCCCCAGAUUUAACAAAUGUUUCCAUAAGCUGGGGAGGUUGCUUGGUCAUCUUCUUCUUGUUCUUCUUGGACUUGGGUGCAAACCCAACUCCUUCCUUUGCAACUACUUCCUUUUGUCUACUCAAAAGGUCAUUAAGAUUCUUUUCACCUUGGAUGCAUGUCACAAGGCCUUUCUCAAGAUGCACUUUUAAUUCGGAGUUCUGCUCCACAAGAUGUGCAUGCUCACAACAGGGGUUAGUAGCAUGGAAAUUACCAAUUAAAACAAAUGGAGAGCAAGUGUAUAUUUCCUUAGUGAGUUUUACUUGGAGUUGAGCAUGAGACUCUUUUAAAGAGACAUGAGAACUCUUCAAGGCCUUGUGAGCCUUGUCAAGUGUUGCAAGCUCUUUCUUGAGUCUAACAUGAUCAAGCCCGAGUGCAC
rnacentral:lncRNA from 1 species